rnacentral:rRNA from 1 species
CAGUCGCCGCGGGAAUACGGAGGGUGCGAGCGUUAAUCGGAAUUACUGGGCGUAAAGCGUACGCAGGCGGUUUGUUAAGUCAGAUGUGAAAUCCCCGAGCUUAACUCGGGAACUGCAUUUGAAACUGGCAGGCUAGAGUCUCGUAGAGGGGGGUAGAAUUCCAGGUGUAGCGGUGAAAUGCGUAGAGAUCUGGAGGAAUACCGGUGGCGAAGGCGGCCCCCUGGACGAAGACUGACGCUCAGGUACGAAAGCGUGGGGAGCAGACAGGAUUAGAUACCCCAGUAGUCCCUGUCUCUUAUAC